UAUAUGAUACCUAUUGUUUUUAUUGUUAUGAUUUCUUCUUAUUUGUUGUCCAAUUACAAAUAGAAAUUGUGCAGGAUCGAAAGGAACUUCAACCUGAACCAGCGAGAGUAUCGAUACAAAGACUGUCUGAAAUCUUCUAGAAACGACAUCGAAAGGAACUUCAAGCUGAACAAGCGAAAGCAUCUAUACAAAGAUUGUCUGAAAUCUUCUAAAAAAACCUAAACCCUAUCGGGAAUGGAGACGCUCUCGGCGAAGCAGGAGGGCACGGUGGACGUGAAGCUGAAGCCGACUUCUAACCAAUCCAACUCGUAGGCGGGCGGGGAGCGGAUGUGCCAACUAGAAGAGUGGUCUCUCUUGGCGCUUGCUUGACAAACGUGUGUUAUUAACCGUUGUAUAUAAUGUUAUUAAUUAAUGUCCUUUAUU